rnacentral:lncRNA from 1 species
CAAAAAGAUGAGUACUCUUCGUCUAGUGGUCAAUAAAUAGAUCCGAACAAGCAUUGAGGGCAACUCGGGUGGUAGCUCUCAAUUUCAACAUCGUCUGAGGGAUGGAUUAGGGGUGAGUUCUAUGAAAUUUAGUAAGGGAUACAGUAUUUAAAUCAUAUUAUUAAAGUUUCAAGAGUUAGAUUUUAAUUUUAAAAGUAAGCAUUUUAAUUUUAAAAGUAAGCAAUCCAAUAUCACUUUAAUCUAAUUAACCUUACCUUCAAAGAUCAUCAAAUAUCACCAGUUUAGAUAUUUCGAAAAACCUUUUAAUUUAGUUACGAAGAUCAUUUAAAAUACAUAUCCAAAUUCAUAGGCAUAAUGAUAGAACAGUGAGAAACAUAUGUCAUCAAGAAGCGAAACAAUAAAUAAACAAUAAACAUCAACAAUAAUCGUAGACCUAACAAAUCAAUCGUUUAUUUUAGUUUAAUUUUACAAAUCUUCGCACGAAGCUGUUAGGGCCUAUAUCAACUAAGGGCAGAGAGGAUUCCCCAACUACCAUUGUGAUUGGAAAAUAAUGUAAUACAGUACGAUCUAUUGAUCAAUAUUCUAUGACUAGGGUGCCACUGUGGCCCUUACAGUUAUCAUGAUCUGUGCUCGUAAGAGGGGACGAUGGUAUCAUUCACAGGGAGUGGUUCACCAACAGUCGGUAAUGGUCAAAUUAGAUAACCCCUUAGUGAUAACGGUUAACGAAUUUCAGUCAUCUAUUUCAUUUUUAGACAUAAAAUAAGAUAGUAAUUCAAUAACAGAAUUCAAAACAAUUAAAUUUCAAACCAAUUUAGGCUCCGUGGAACCCUUUACCCAAACCCAGACCCGAUAAGGGCCUCUUAUACAAACCAGACCCACUGAUGGCCCACUAAACCGAACCGAACUAAAAAGGGAUUCUUCAAACCAUCCCAGCCUAACAAGGGCUCCUAAACUAACUUGGAUCUAAAGAGGAUCUGUUUGACCAAAAUUCGGACCCAAAAGGGAUCCGUUGACUUAAAUUGGGUCCAAUGCUAACCCUUUGACCUGAACUCGAAUCCAAAAUGGAUCCAUUUACCUAACCCAGCACAGGACUCAAUGGGGGGUCUAUUGACCAACCCGACACGUUAACUGACCUAGCCCAACUGAGAGCCCAUUUGACUUACCUGGACCGGUUAAGGUCUAUUAAGCUAACCCAGCCGACAAAGGCCUAACUCGGAUCAAACCCAGAUCCAUUAGGAUCUUUAAAACACUUUCGGCCCACCAAGGCCCAACCUAAGCCUAAAACCCAGACCAUUAAGGUCCUUAGACAACUGGGCCAUUGGUUUUUCUUUUUGGGCCGAGGUCUAUUUGGGAAACCCUCUCAAUUAUCACCUUGUGAGUGAGGCCUAGGGCCCAAGCCCAGGCCCAAUUGGAAUGCCCCACAACUCGUGCAUGCCAACAGGCCCAACUAUAUGCCAAGCUGUACAUGUAGUGUGCCACGGACAGCUAUCCUGGCAGUUUGGCCUGUGGAGACAAGCCUUUCUGCACACAGUGCGCCUGAACACUCGACCAUGCAACACUGCCACAUGCACAAGAGCCUAUCGGCAUGUUGGCAUGCUUGGCAGACCUACAGGCACACACACACAUGCAUGCAUUCUCGUGCGCGCACCAAUGUACGUACACCUUGGCAAACCAGUGCCUUCACUAUUUUGAACCCAUUCCUAUCAUUUUCAUCAUGUGUUUUCCCUCAUUUUCAAUCAAAAUCAUUAUUAAUCAUCAUAAAAAUACCUUGCAUAUCAAAUUCACACUUCACUUGUAUCUAAACCAAAACAAUCACCAAAUAAUUACCAUGCAUUCCAAAAAUCAUGUGCAAAGAUAGUUCAAUCCCUUUUUAUGGUUGUAAAAUCCUAUAAAUAAGCAAUUAAAACAUGCAGAGAAAUACUAGGUCCCUUAUCUUCAGUUUAAAGUCCUCAAGUUUUAGAGAAAUAAAGCUACAUGGGAUGGUUCGAAUAGGAGAGCUUGAUGUAGCAGCAUGUUGUAAAAAUGCUCUCAGUUUGCAAAGAAAAUCUACAGAUGAUGGAGGUAGAGGAAGAGAAGAAGAAAGAAAGAAGAAGAAGUCUCAGUUAAGUGACUUAACACUCUGAAAGGAAUGAAAAAAUUUGGAAAAAGAUAAGCAAACUCACCGUGCGAUCAAGCUUGAUUGAUUCUGCAUGGUGAGAAUGGACGGAGUGCAUGACCCUUCAAUGUAUUCCUUCCUGUAUCACUCUUUCUCUCUGUUGAAG